UACAGAGGUCCCAAGCGUUGUUCGGAUUCACUGGGCGUAAAGGGUGCGUAGGUGGUGAGGUAAGUCGGAUGUGAAAUCUCCAGGCUCAACCUGGAAAUGGCAUCGGAAACUACCUCGCUGGAGGUUUGGAGAGGGGACUGGAAUUCUCGGUGUAGCAGUGAAAUGCGUAGAGAUGCGGAGGAACACCGAUGGCGAAGGCAGCCCCCUGGGCUAACACUGACGCUCAGGCACGAAAGCGUGGGGAGCAAACAGG
rnacentral:rRNA from 1 species